rnacentral:ncRNA from 1 species
UAUACACCUUGGUUCUAAUUGCUCAGAUUAGUUAUUCUUAAAUAAUUACAUGGCAGUCUAUACGCGAUUUAUGGGGACGCACACAAAACACUUUUAACAAACAACCUGCCCUAAAAGCUAAUAAGCAUAAUACAUAGCCCAUAACCCAGUAUAUUAUAUUAUUUAUAAACGAAAGUUAGAUCUAGUUAUAAGAAACAGGAAAGACAAAGACUUGUGCCAGCAGUCGCGGUUACACAAUAUUUCCAAAUUAACCCCCUUAAGUUAAAAAUACUCACAACAAAACUGCCUAAGAAACAUUACCACUUAUUAAGAAGUUAAAUUCAAAAAUAAGGUAAAAACUAAAAGUUUCUACAUUUUGCCUGAGUAAAACUAAUCCAAAAACUGGGAUUAGAUACCCCACUAUUCUCUCACACCCACAAUUUAUAUUUACUAAGAUACUACAAGCAGAUAGCUUUAAAACUAAAGAACUUGGCGGUGUUUUAUCCUAUUAGGGGAACCUGUCCUAUCAUUGACAAUCCACAAUUAACCUUACCUAUUUUAGUCCUUUAUAUAUUCAGCUUGCAUAUCGUUGUCAUCAGCCUAUCUCUAAAAGUUUAAAUAAUAGGCUCUCCAAAUACCCAAUUUUUAAAUGUCAGAUCAAGAUACAGCUAAUAAAUGGGCAGAGAUGGGUUACAAUACAUACCCCAGCUAUUGAAUUCCUCCUUUAAACUAAGAGGAUUAAAGCGGACUUAAAAGUAAUCUUGGUAUUAGCAUAACAUCAUGAAUUGGCCCUAAAACAUGCACAUAUCGCCCGUCGCUCUUAACUCACCUUUAAGAUAAGUCGUAACAUAGUAGAUGUAGUGGAAGCUGCCUCUGCCAUAU